rnacentral:rRNA from 1 species
GGGUUGUGAGGUUAAGUGACUAAGCGUACACGGUGGAUGCCUAGGCAGUCAGAGGCGAUGAAGGGCGUGCUAAUCUGCGAAAAGCGUCGGUAAGGUGAUAUGAACCGUUAUAACCGGCGAUACCCGAAUGGGGAAACCCAGUGUGUUUCGACACAUUAUCAUGUCAUGAAUACAUAGUGGCAUGAGGCGAACCGGGGGAACUGAAACAUCU